AGGCAACGAUCAGUAGCUGGUCUGAGAGGACGACCAGCCACACUGGAACUGAGACACGGUCCAGACUCCUACGGGAGGCAGCAGUGGGGAAUUUUGGACAAUGGGGGCAACCCUGAUCCAGCAAUGCCGCGUGAGUGAAGAAGGCCUUCGGGUUGUAAAGCUCUUUUGUCAGGGAAGAAAAGGUUGUGGCUAAUAUCCACAUCUGCUGACGGUACCUGAAGAAUAAGCACCGGCUAACUACGUGCCAGCAGCCGCGGUAAUACGUAGGGUGCAAGCGUUAAUCGGAAUUACUGGGCGUAAAGCGUGCGCAGGCGGUUUCGUAAGUCUGUCGUGAAAUCCCCGGGCUUAACCUGGGAAUGGCGAUGGAGACUGCGAGGCUAGAGUUUGGCAGAGGGGGGUAGAAUUCCACGUGUAGCAGUGAGAUGCGUAGAGAUGUGGAGGAACACCGAUGGCGAAGGCAGCCCCCUGGGUCAAAACUGACGCUCAUGCACGAAAGCGUGGGGAGCAAACAGGAUUAGAUACCCUGGUAGUCCACGCCCUAAACGAUGUCUACUAGUUGUUGGGUCUUAAUUGACUUAGUAACGCAGCUAACGCGUGAAGUAGACCGCCUGGGGAGU
rnacentral:rRNA from 1 species